UAGUGACACCCUGCCCACACUGACGAGAAACAAGCAUAGAGAGCUGUCUGUGUACCCAGAUGUUGCCAACCCACGGCCUGCUCUGCUUCAUCCACACCUGCAAUACUCGAGAUCCAUUAUGGAGAGAUGAUCAUCUUAUCUGUAAAUAUCUCAGCGUGGAUUUUUGAAAGAGACGAAUAUAUUUUUAGAAAUGCAACCAUGUAAUUCCUUAAUAUUAUUAUGUAGUCAACAAUCAUGUUUAUUACAUUUUGUUUAACAUAAGUGGAUUGCUUAGAGCCAUGUACAGUCCAUUUGCCACAAUACAUUUAUAAUUUCCUUCAAUUCAUUUUUAAUCUCUUUCUCAGUCUGUCUCCCUGUCUCCGUCUCUCUCUGUGUCUGUGGGUCUCUGUGUGUGUCUGUGUGUGUGCGCGUGUGUGUGUGCGCACGUGUGUGUCAAACAGGAAGUCAGUGCUGGUGAUCUUUAUUGCUUUCCUUCUUGUUUUUUAAGACAGAGUCUAACUAGGGAUGCAUUGUUUGACUGGACCAGGUGGACAACGAAUCUCUAGAACGUGCAUCCUUUGCUCCCCAGUUCUGGAGUUAGAAAUGCUUGACUAUGGUCCACUUUCACAUGGGUGUGGGGAUCUAGACCAGGCCCUCAGCCUUGCAGAAAAAGCACUUUGCCCUCUUAGCCAGCUUCCUAAACCCAAGGUCUUUCCUCCCCACUUUUCUUUUUUGAACAUAGGUGUGUACAUGCUUGUGCAUGUAUGUGAGCAUACAUGUUCAUAUUGAAGGAUAACAUUAGGUACCAUGAUAGAGAACAACAUCUCCAUAGACCCAUGCUGUAUCAUUGGCUUGGAACUCACCAAUCUGGUUAGACUGACAUCAGCAAGCCUCAGAGAUUUUCUUGUCAGUGUACCUAGCACUGGGAUUAUGCGAGUAGCGCCAUGGCUGAUAUGUUGACAUAGAUUCUGAGGAUCAAGCCUGGACCCUUGUACUUGCAAAACAUGUGCUUUACCAAAUGAGUCAGCUCUCUAGCUCGGCCUCUACAAACACUAGCUUCUAGGUUUUCCCCAUAGCAUCCUUGUGCUGCUAUUUAACAUGGUAUGGCAUUAACUAUACCUAAUGGGUUGGUCAGACAGAGGUUUGAGUCUUCUGGAAUCUCUUCCUCUGAAGUGGCUUCUUGUGUUUCUGGAGGCACCAAAGGCCUGAUGUAUGAGAUUAUACCUCAUCUGUGAUUUUAGGUACUGUUACCCUGGUUCAUCAGGUUUUCAUGGACUUCCCACCUAGAAUUAUACUAGCUAUUGCCUAUGGCCAAACUGUAGGACUAUAUACUUGUCUUUGCUUUUUAUAUAGUGAACUUUUAAAACAAAGAUGUUAUUUUUGGAGAAAUUUUAUAUUUAUAAAGAAAUUAAAGAGUAACUGCUGAGUCUCCAGGUGCCUGAGCAUCUCAUACACCUAUCUGCAUGUGAAGCGAAGCCUGUCACUAGCCUCUUAUACUGCUGGGUCCAUUUACACAAUGAACUUCAGCAAAUCAGAGUCCGAUCAUGUUUCACUGUAUGAAGGUUUCUUGUACCCUUCUCUCCUUUCACUUGUGAGCUCUUCUGUGGGUAUACGUGUAUUUCUGUGUUGUGUUUGGUUUGCAAAUCCCGCCAAGAAAAGGAUGCUGCCUGGUUUUUCAUCACUGAAGGACUCAGAAAGUACUGGUCAAAUGUUUCCACACAUGUUCUUGUUGAAUGGACAUGGUAAGUGAAUACUCAAGGUUAGCAGAGGUAUCUGUAGGUGGGGCACAGUACCAGUGGUAUGGCAGUGGCUGUUGUCCUUGAAUGUGGGACAUGGAGAAAAGGCAGGUUGAAACUGUAGAAAGGAGAGGAGCCCAAGUCAAGGAGAGAUGGGGAGAUUUGGUGAUGAGGCACAGUGGUUAUGCACUGUUCCCAGAGGAGAGACAUCAUACCAGAAGCUUCCCUGAAGGCACAAGAAGGCUUUAGCUGAAUAAAUGAUUAGUGGGUGAUAUGCUUACUAUGAAAACAUGAGUACUUGGGUUGGGAUUCUCUUCACUUAUAUAAAAGAGCCAAGCACAGUGGUCCAUACGUCCUUGGUGGGACAGAAACAGGUACCUUUAAGGGCUCAGUGACCAGCCAAUCCAACUGGACAAGUGAACUCCAACUUCAGUUAGAGACCCUCUCAAAAACAAAACAAAACGAAACG
rnacentral:lncRNA from 1 species